AGUCAAUAGAUACCCGGGUAGUCCUGGCCCUCAACGUUGCUCGCUCGUUUUACGGAGUAUCGACCCUCUGUGAGACUAAAGCUAAACGCGGUAAGCGAGCCGCCUGGGUAGUACGAUCGCAAGAUUAAAACUCAAAGGAAUAGACGGGGACUCGCACAAGCAGUGGAUUAUGCGGCUUAAUUCGUCGGUAAACGAAGAACCUUACCAAGGUUAGAAACCCAACUGCAUCCGACCUGAAAGGGACGGAGCCUUCGAGGGUGUUGGGCAGGUGAUGCAUGGUCGUCGUCAGUUCGCGGUUUGAAACUGUUCCCUUCAGUGGGGUAACGAACGCAACCCCCGUU
rnacentral:rRNA from 1 species